rnacentral:rRNA from 1 species
CCUACGGGUGGCUGCAGUGGGGAAUAUUGGACAAUGGGGGCAACCCUGAUCCAGCGACGCCGCGUGUGUGAAGAAGGCCUGCGGGUUGUAAAGCACUUUUAGUGGGGAGGAAGGUCUGCGACCUAACACGUCGUGGAAUUGACUUAACCCACAGAAAAAGCACCGGCUAACUCUGUGCCAGCAGCCGCGGUAAUACAGAGGGUAAAAGCGUGGAUCGGAAUUACUGGGCGCGGUGUGGUAGGAGGCGGUUGAAAGCCCCGGGCUCAACCUGGGAAUUGCAUUCGAGACUGCGAAGCUGGAGUGCGGAAGAGGGAAGUGGAAUUUCCGGUGUAGCGGUGAAAUGCGUAGAUAUCGGAAGGAACAUCAGUGGCGAAAGCGACUUCCUGGUCCAGCACUGACGCUCAGGCACGAAAGCGUGGGGAGCAAACAGGAUUAGAUACCCGGGUAGUC